UAAGGAAUAUUGGUCAAUGGGCGCAAGCCUGAACCAGCCAUGCCGCGUGCAGGAAGACGGCCCUACGGGUUGUAAACUGCUUUUAUACCGGAAUAAACCUUGAUACGUGUAUCGAGCUGAAUGUACGGUAAGAAUAAGGAUCGGCUAACUCCGUGCCAGCAGCCGCGGUAAUACGGAGGAUCCAAGCGUUAUCCGGAUUUAUUGGGUUUAAAGGGUGCGUAGGUGGCCUGUUAAGUCAGGGGUGAAAGACGGUAGCUUAACUAUCGCAGUGCCUUUGAUACUGACGGGCUUGAAUACACUAGAGGUAGGCGGAAUGUGACAAGUAGCGGUGAAAUGCAUAGAUAUGUCACAGAACACCAAUUGCGAAGGCAGCUUACUAUGGUGUCAUUGACACUGAGGCACGAAAGCGUGGGGAUCAAACA
rnacentral:rRNA from 1 species